rnacentral:rRNA from 1 species
AUUGAACGCUGGCGGCAGGCCUAACACAUGCAAGUCGAGCGGAUGAAGGGAGCUUGCUCCUGGAUUCAGCGGCGGACGGGUGAGUAAUGCCUAGGAAUCUGCCUGGUAGUGGGGGAUAACGUCCGGAAACGGGCGCUAAUACCGCAUACGUCCUGAGGGAGAAAGUGGGGGAUCUUCGGACCUCACGCUAUCAGAUGAGCCUAGGUCGGAUUAGCUAGUUGGUGGGGUAAAGGCCUACCAAGGCGACGAUCCGUAACUGGUCUGAGAGGAUGAUCAGUCACACUGGAACUGAGACACGGUCCAGACUCCUACGGGAGGCAGCAGUGGGGAAUAUUGGACAAUGGGCGAAAGCCUGGUCCAGCCAGGCCGCGUGUGUGAAGAAGGUCUUCGGAUUGUAAAGCACUUUAAGUUGGGAGGAAGGGCAGUAAGUUAAUACCUUGCUGUUUUGACGUUACCAACAGAAUAAGCACCGGCUAACUUCGUG